UACGUAGGGCGCAAGCGUUGUCCGGAAUUAUUGGGCGUAAAGAGCUCGUAGGCGGCUUGUCACGUCGGGUGUGAAAGCCCGGGGCUUAACCCCGGGUCUGCAUUCGAUACGGGCAGGCUAGAGUGUGGUAGGGGAGAUCGGAAUUCCUGGUGUAGCGGUGAAAUGCGCAGAUAUCAGGAGGAACACCGGUGGCGAAGGCGGAUCUCUGGGCCAUUACUGACGCUGAGGAGCGAAAGCGUGGGGAGCGAAACAGG
rnacentral:rRNA from 1 species